ensembl:lncRNA
CUGGGUUGCACUGGAACCUGGAAUUGGAGAACGUGGGUUGGCAAGAGCUGAGGUGUCUGGGAGCUGCCGAGCAGCCCCGGAGGCUUCCCAAAUUCCGCUCCCCACCAUCCCGUCUGGGAGGACAGAGGAAGCUGGGCAGCAUUUCUCAGCUCAAAACCUCAGAAUUUGGGAUCCGGGCCCCUGAAACUUUCACCCCCUGUUCCUGGACGGCUGUGGCACGCAGCUGGAGUGCAGAAAGGCGAACUGGCCUCAGCGGAGGCACCUGGUGGCUCUGCAGGUGGCCCCAGGCUGCCGUGUGCUGCUCAGCACCAUUUUGGGGCAAUUUAUCGCAGGAUCAGAGCACUGAGGAGCUACUGUUUGUAUUCGGAUGGGCUCCCUUUCAGCAUGAGGGGGCAAUGCCGGAGGCUGGGCAGCGAGACAGCCCUGUCUGCCCAGCAGUGGAACGGAGGAGCUGGCUAUUCACCUGGAUGCCGUCCUGAGUUAGUCAAAACCAGAGCCUCUCUGCAAAGCACCUAGACCUGAACACACAGUGGUUCUCUGACAAAAAUGUUCCGUCGGAGAACUUCUGACCAGGUCUGGUGGUAAACAGGCUCAAACGACACUCUGGAGAUGAUACAGGGCAAAAAUUAUUCGGGUCCCUGGUCUGCAGAGUGGGAGGAUGAGGGAAGAGAACAGUAAAUUGAAGAGAAAACAGCCGCCACGAGAGCCGCAUCCCCGUUGCCACGGCUGAGGGUCCCCGCGCUGAGGGGGCCCUGAGGGGCGCUCCCCGCCCCGCGCUCUGAGGGGCUGUGAGGCGGGAAGGCCGCGCGGCCCCGCGCUGCUCAGGGCUCGCCUUUCCGCGGCGCCGUAGCGGGGCUGAGAGAGGAGAGCCGAGGGGCCCCUGCCCCGAGCGGGGAGGGGGGGAGCGGAGUUCCCGGCGGGCCGGCCGCCUCCCCGCCCUCCCCCGGCGGCGUGAGUGAGCGUGUUUGGGAGGGAAGGAGGGGGUGGAAGCCGGGCCGGGGCGGCCAGCAGGCAAUUUGCAUGAGAGACAGACUGGGAAUGAGCUGGAGUGGGCGCCUCUCCGCGCACACAGAGCGGGGCAGGAGGGGGAGGAGGAGGGAGCUGCCGCCGCCGCCGCCGCCGGGGAGAGGCGGCGAACUCCGGGCAAAGUUUGGUGCCGCGGGCCCGAGGCGCUGAGGCGGCGGAGAGCGGCGCGGGGC